AUCUAUCUAUUAGUCUUGACCAAAUUACGUGCCAGCAGUCGCGGUAAUACGUAGAAGACAAGUGUUAUUCAUCUUUAUUAGGUUUAAAGAGUACCAAGACGGUUAAUAAAGCCCAAAAGAAAUGAAUACGGGGGACACAUUAACUAGAGUUAUAUGAAAGGAAGCUUUAAGGUACUGUUGAGUGUAGAGAUGAAAUUUAAUGAUACCAGAUGAUUGGCACAGAUUUAUGCGAAGGCAUCUUCUUAUGUAAUAACUGACGUUGUAGGACGAAGGCUUAGGUAAUGAACAGGAUUUGGUACCCCAGUAAUCUAGGCAGAAAAUGAUGAAUGUCAUAGGUUGAAUACAGACGAUUAAAGAUACUAUCUAAUAGUAAAUAGGUGGUUUAUUAAAUAUACUAUCUAAUAAUAAAUAAUCAGUCUAUUAUUGUGUCUAUAAAUGAAAGUGUAAGCAUUCCACCUCAAGAGUAAUUUGGCAACAUUGGAACUGAAAUCAUUAGACCGUUUCUGAAACCAGUAGUGAAGUAUGUUGUUUAAUUAGAUGAUACACAAAAACCUUACCACAAUUUGAAUAUNUNUAAAAUAUAUUUACAAGCGCUGCACGGCUGUCUACAGUUAAUGUCGUGAGACUUUGGUUAGCUC
rnacentral:rRNA from 1 species